GACGAACGCUGGCGGCGUGCCUAAUACAUGCAAGUUGAGCGAUGAAGAUUGGUGCUUGCACCAAGUUGAAGAGCAGCGAACGGGUGAGUAACGCGUGGGGAAUCUGCCUUUGAGCGGGGGACAACAUUUGGAAACGAAUGCUAAUACCGCAUAACAACUUUAAACAUAAGUGUUAAGUUUGAAAGAUGCAAUUGCAUCACUCAAAGAUGAUCCCGCGUUGUAUUAGCUAGUUGGUGAGGUAAAGGCUCACCAAGGCGAUGAUACAUAGCAGACGUGAGAGGGUGAUCGGCCACACUGGGACUGAGACACGGCCCAAACUCCUAGGGGAGGCAGCAGUAGGGAAUCUUCGGCAAUGGGCGGAAGUCUGACCGAGCAACGCCGCGUGAGUGAAGAAGGUUUUCGGAUCGUAAAACUCUGUUGGUAGAGAAGAACGUUGGUGAGAGUGGAAAGCUCAUCAAGUGACGGUAACUACCCAGAAAGGGACGGCUAACUACGUG
rnacentral:rRNA from 1 species